rnacentral:rRNA from 1 species
GGCGAACGGGUGAGUAACACGUGAGUAACCUGCCUUACACAAGGGGAUAGCCUCUGGAAACGGAGAAUAAUACCCUAUAAAGUCUAAUCAGCCCAUGCUGGAAAGACCAAAGAUUUAUCGGUGUAAGAUGGACUUGCGUCUGAUUAGCUAGUUGGUGAGAUUAAAAGCUCACCAAGGCGACGAUCAGUAGCCGGCUUGAGAGAGUGUACGGCCACAUUGGGACUGAGACACGGCCCAAACUCCUACGGGAGGCAGCAGUGGGGAAUUUUGCACAAUGGGGGAAACCCUGAUGCAGCGACGCCGCGUGAUUUAGAAGGCCUUCGGGUUGUAAAAAUCUUUUUUACGGGAUGAAAAUGACAGUACCGUAAGAAUAAGGUCCGGCUAAAUACGUGCCAGCAGCCGCGGUAAUACGUAUGGACCGAGCGUUGUCCGGAAUCAUUGGGCGUAAAGGGUACGUAGGCGGCCUAGUAAGUUAGAAGUUAAAGAAUAUAGCUCAACUAUAUAAAGCUUUUAAAACUGCUAGGCUUGAGAGAUGGAAGGGAAAGUGGAAUUCCUAGUGUAGCGGUGAAAUGCGCAGAUAUUAGGAAGAAUACCGGUGGCGAAGGCGACUUUCUGGUCAUCAUCUGACGCUGAGGUACGAAAGCGUGGGUAGCAAACAGGAUUAGAUACCCUGGUAGUCCACGCUGUAAACGAUGAGUGUUAGGUUCUUGGAAUAAUCUGGGAGCCGCAGCUAACGCAUUAAACACUCCGCCUGGGGAGUACGCACGCAAGUGUG